UAGACCUAUCAGACGCACAAUUAGAGUUUCAUGCCAGAACUCUGUAUGUAUAUAUAUAUAUUUUUAUUCAGUAUUUACUUUGUAUUCAGUUUUGGUGACAAUAUAACAUUUGCAUAAUGUUACAAAAAAACUAUCUCAAAUAAAUUCUUUGCAUCACAGGAAUAAAGAACAUUUAUUUAAACAUUCUUAAAAUAGAAAAGUUAUUGGAAAUUGUAACAAUAUAUUACAAUAUUACUGUUUUAAAAACAUAAAAAAUGUAACUAUUCCAAACAUUUGGCCUAUAUUGUAUGUUUGUGCUAAACUAUGUACGAACGUUGAAGCUAUUCUGGGUGAAUAGUUCAUUUCCGUGGUCAUAUUUCCUGCAGAGUUGUGUAUUCAUAUCUGUUCUGAAAGAGUCCUCUAUCCGCUCUCACACCUCAGCUCCAGAUUCUACUGGCUGCCUCUCGUGUUCAUUGCUCUGCAGUCUUCAGCCUCCGACAGCAGCACAGAUUAGUAAUCGAGUUUUCUCAUAGCUGCGUUCGCUGCUCCAUUUGUGAAAGGGGAGCAGGCCAAGAAAUUUUUACGUCUAAAGAAACAGUCCGGCUACUGGGACCCCAACAAUGCCCAGAACCAGUUUGGUUACACCAUACAGGAGCAGGUGAACACUAGCAAUGCAUCACACAGAUUACUUCAUAUUUGGAAUCUCUAAAAGCUGUAGCGCUAUUUACAUCAAUUAAAAGGUUUUUUUGUAGCCUGGUGAAAUAGGUUCUGUUUGUUCUCUUUAAAGGUUCUAAACAUGGAAUACAAUUUUUCUGGAUUUAAUUUUGUUUUAUACUUAUGCUGGAUGGAUAAAAUUAAGAUGUAGUGAAAAUGUACUCGCUCUCAGGCCAUCCAACACAACAUGUGGAAGCUUUACAGCUACCCUGUGAUGUGCUGUGGAGGUGUUUAUAGAAUAUACUUAUUAACAGAUCCUUAGUGGAAAAGUGCACUUAAUUGUACUGAACUUGCACUUAUAGUGUGCUUCAAAGAAAUAAAGAAAAAAGAAAAGAAAGCA
ensembl:lncRNA